UAAGGAAUUUUGCACAAUGGACGAAAGUCUGAUGCAGCAACGCCGCGUGAUCGAUGAAGCUUCUAGGAGUGUAAAGAUCUGUCGUGAGGGAAGAAAAAUUUAGAUGUAAAUAAUGUUUAAACUUGACGGUACCUUACAAGAAAGCACCGGCUAACUUCGUGCCAGCAGCCGCGGUAAUACGAGGGGUGCUAGCGUUGUCCGGAAUAACUGGGCGUAAAGGGUCCGUAGGCGUUUUGCUAAGUUGAUCGUUAAAUCCAUCGGCUUAACCGAUGAAAUGCGAUCAAAACUGGCAGAAUAGAAUAUGUGAGGGGAAUGUGGAAUUCCUGGUGUAGCGGUGACAUGCGUAGAUAUCAGGAGGAACACCGAUGGCGAAGGCAGCAUUCUGGCACAAUAUUGACGCUGAGGGACGAAAGCGUGGGGAGCGAACAGG
rnacentral:rRNA from 1 species